rnacentral:rRNA from 1 species
CCUACGGGAGGCAGCAGUGAGGAAUAUUGGUCAAUGGGCUUACGCCUGAACCAGCCAAGUCGCGUGAGGGAAGACUGCCCUAUGGGUUGUAAACCUCUUUUGUCAGGGAGCAACGCCGGCCACGUGUAGCCGGACUGAGAGUACCUGAAGAAAAAGCAUCGGCUAACUCCGUGCCAGCAGCCGCGGUAAUACGGAGGAUGCGAGCGUUAUCCGGAUUUAUUGGGUUUAAAGGGUGCGUAGGCGGAAUGCCAAGUCAGCGGUAAAAUCGCGGGGCUCAACCUCGCUCCGCCGUUGAUACUGGCAGUCUUGAGUACAGUUGAGGUAGGCGGAAUUCGUGGUGUAGCGGUGAAAUGCUUAGAUAUCACGAAGAACUCCGAUUGCGAAGGCAGCAUACUAAACUGCCACUGACAUUGAUGCUCGAAAGUGUGGGUAUCGAACAGGAUUAGAUACCCCAGUAGUC